ACACCUGCGAAGGUGUGGCUGAAGCCCGCCUUCACCAAGGCGCUACGGCUCGGUCUUCGAGAAGCCGACUUGUCGCGGCGGAGUUCGAAGAACGAAGACGGACGAACAGAAACCGCAUAUAAAGGCCCGACCCGAGGGCGAGUCAGACCACAUGACAAAGCCGGUCUGAUUCAAGGGAAAGGUAAAUGCGGCGGUUGUGCGGGCGUAGUUCACGUU
rfam:Lentisphaerae bacterium RIFOXYA12_FTLL_48_11 rifixya3_full_scaffold_1911, whole genome shotgun sequence.